AACGAACGCUGGCGGCAUGCCUAACACAUGCAAGUCGAACGAGACCUUCGGGUCUAGUGGCGCACGGGUGCGUAACGCGUGGGAACCUGCCCUUAGGUUCGGAAUAACUCCCCGAAAGGGGUGCUAAUACCGGAUAAUGUCUUCGGACCAAAGAUUUAUCGCCUUUGGAUGGGCCCGCGUUGGAUUAGCUAGUUGGUAGGGUAAAAGCCUACCAAGGCGACGAUCCAUAGCUGGUCUGAGGGGAUGAUCAGCCACACUGGGACUGAGACACGGCCCAGACUCCUACGGGAGGCAGCAGUGGGGAAUAUUGGACAAUGGGCGAAAGCCUGAUCCAGCAAUGCCGCGUGAGUGAUGAAGGCCUUAGGGUUGUAAAGCUCUUUUAACCGGGAUGAUAAUGACAGUACCGGGAGAAUAAGCUCCGGCUAACUCCGUG
rnacentral:rRNA from 1 species